rnacentral:lncRNA from 1 species
UGGAUGGAUUAAUCCAUUCUUCAAUUAAUGGGUUAAUGGAUUAAUGAGUUAUCAUGGGAAGGGAACUGGUGGCUUAUAAGAAGAGGAAGAGAGUGCUAAGUGGGCACAUGGGAGCACCCUCAGCCCCCUCUCCAUGGGAUACCCUGUGGGGCACUUCAGAGUCCCCACCAGCAAGAAGGCUCUCUCUCACCAGAUGUGCCCCCUGCCAACCUUGGAUGUCUCAGUCUCCAGAACCUUCCAUAUCUUCCUGAGGCAUUGCAGCCUAAAUUGGAACUCUGGAGCAGGAAGCUUCUUUCCCACAUUUUUAAGAUGAUAAACGAUUUGGAGCGCAGCAUGAUGUACUCCCAUUUUUCUCCUUCCACACCAUCUGUUGGGGAAAAGAGGACUCACACUGAUUGAUAGUUACAGAUUUCCUUCAGUAAAUGAGCCAGCUCCCUUGUGAAACUGUAAGAACAUGGUACUUAGAGGAGUAAGGCUCAUGAAGUGGAGGGAUGAGAAGACUUUCGGGACAGAUUGUGUGGAGGCUGUCGUUCUCCUCGUGACAUUGCUGUGGGAGAAGAAGGAGGCAUUCCAUGUUGGCUUCAGUGAAGAACUUCAUAGGACUCCAGGGAUUGGCCUGUCAUUUACACUGUCAACACUUCUUGCUUCUGAACAGCAUAUCUUCCUUCCUAGUGUUAUUGAAGACUCAACAUCCUUUCUGAGGUUUCAUAAUGAAUUUGAUUACCUGAUAAGGAUGGAGCACAUGCCCCAGAUGAAGCCUACACGACAUGAGUCAGAGAACUUUGGCCAGGAUGUCUGGGGACAAAGUUUCCUCUUUCUUCUCUGGGAGCUAUCUGGAGAGGGUUGUUUUAAAGCUGGAUGUGAACAGCGACUCGUGUAGCCCCAGAAGCCUCUGACAGCCGCGUUGGAAUCAUAAGUUCUCAAAAUGAAGUUGUGGUCUAGAAAGCAUAUUGUGAUUUGUACAAGAAGCACAUUCCCAUUUUACAAAAGUACAAAAGCACAUUUUGGACUUUUAACAAAUUCAACUGUUCUGUGUUCUGUGUGAGUAAAUUUUAGGUUGCCCAUCAUUGAAAACCAGUUUAAAAAAAAAUAAUGGGAGUAGAUAAUCCAGACAACAUUUUCUACCGUAUUUGUUGACUGCAGUUGUUGGAAAGUAAAAUUCUGGAGGAAGAGCUGGGAUAUCUCCAGGGGCUUAGUUUAACAUCAUCAAAGACUCUCCUGCUCCCCCUUUGCAUGUUACAGUAUCUGCUUUACCAAUCAGGGGAAAUUUAUCAUGUAGGAUUUAAAGGAGAUAUUUAUGGCGUCCGUAAGCACAAUGACUUUGACUGGUAAGACGUCAGCUAUUCCCUUUAGGAGAUAAAAGGCAACAGCUGGUGAGGUAAUAGAACAGGAACUGUUUCAGUAUUUCAAAACAGAAGACCUUGUUGAAGAAGAGAGAUUUUAUAUGGCAUUUGCUUUUAUUUUUUUCCCUCUAUGAUGAACAGGUGUGGGAGUCAAUUCAAGAAGGCAGCUUAGAUGAUUGUGAGACAAGGGAGGGAGGUAAAUAUUUUUGAUGGUUGGGGAAGGACUGAGAUUUUCAAACUUCAAACCAAACAUGUAGUCCAAGCCUUUUCUACCUGUGUACACAAAGGAAAGAGGAAACUAAGUCAAUGUAAAAUAGGCAGUUGCUGUUUCGAUUAUUCAUUAAGUUAUGAAAUCCUCCUGGCUACACAAAACAGAAAGCCCAGCUAUGUGACAAGUGUUUGAUGUAAAUGUGCAAAUGCAGUUUUAAAUUCAUUAUACCUAAGGGAACAAGGUAUCUGGGUAAGGGGGGUUCUACUAUUUCUUAAGCUUACAAAGCAGGUCCUUGAAUAAUGUCAUUUAACUUCAAUGUAAUUUCCUUAUAAUGUUGAUGAGAAAAAAAAAAUGGAUUCCUAGCUGAAGUCAUUGUGUGUGUGGACUUUGCAUGUCCUCCCCAUGUCUGGUUUCCUCCCAAAACCCAAAGCUGUGUCCGUUAGAUGAAUCAGUGUGUCUCACUGGUCCCAGCGUGAGUGAGUGUUGCUAUGUAUGAGUGGGCCCUGCAAUGGGAAUGGUGACCUGUCUGGGGCUGGUUCCAGCCUGGUACCCUGAGCUACCAGAAUUGGCUCUGGCCCCUUGAGCUUCUGAACUUGAAUAAGUGGGUAAAUUAUUAUCUUGUUUUUGUUAACCUUUCUUAAGUGUAUGUGUAGCUCACAUUUCUUUCAAAGUUAUUUUGAUGUUUAUUUCAAUAUUAGAAGUGUUUGGGUCUUUCUUUAGAAGUUUGGUGAUUUUUUUUUUUUGUGACCAAAAUAUGCUGUAGCAACUUAACUCUUGUUUAGAUCGGUUAGCCUAUAGUAAAGCUAUUUUCGUUAUGUGUUCUUUCACUUGAAGUUCCAGUUUCCAAGAACCUAUUGUCCAAGAUAAGUAAGGACUUACUGUACUUUUGGGCACACAAUGGGCUAAGCAUCUUAUAUUAUCAACUAGAAGAUGAGAUAUUUUCCAGAGAGAAGUACUGAGCAGCUUAAAGUAUUUGAAUGGGAGGAGGAGAAGCAAACUACAGCUACUUCAGAGGAUAACACUAAACACCUAGUCCACUCUGUAUACACUAGAGUGCUGUUAAUUUUCUUGUGGAGAAGGAACUGUCUUUAGAAAAAUAUCUCAAAAAGCCACUGAAGUAGAAAGUUUCAGCAUGCUGAGGAUGGAACUUGAGAAGAUAGAAAAUUCUGGGUCCUUAGUGGCAUGACUGAGUCGCUGGACCACUGUUGGAACCACCCUAUGUCUUAGUUUUUAAAUCUCUUUACUGUCUAAGACAUUUUUAGUGGAAGUAUUUAUCUCUGGCAUCCAAUAAGACCUUUAAGGAUUUGCAGUUUUAUCUAUGUGCUUAUUUUGUUUAUUGUCUGCUCCACCCUACUUGAUUGUGAUCACCAUGACAUCAAUGACUGUGCAUCUUUUGUUCACCCAGGAAUAUCCAGUGCCUGCCACGAAGAGUGUGCUGCAUGUACAUGCUCACUUGAUAUCUGUUGUAGCAAAGAGUGAAAGAGAGAAGGAAUAAAUGCUUUCUCCCAUGAUGAGGGGACAUGGGGUCCAGACAAGCUGGACCAUUAUCCCAGGCCCAGCACUCUGCUUUAUUUUUUUUUUCCAGUACAGCAUCACAUUCAGUUACAACACAGUGAAAUCUCCUAAGAACACGGCUGAUUAUUUCUUGAUUGCAAAAAGGACUCACUAACCCUCCGCUCUCCUGUAACACAAGUCAAUGCUCUUCUAAUCUCCUUUUAGACGGCACCUCUACUUGUCAGUCAACACAUGGUAGUCUGGGCUAGCCAAGUUAAUCCUUAACUAAACUGAAGUGGUGCUGAUCAUUCAGCCUUCAGAAUUGAAAAAAUCACAGCAUUGCUGAAGGAAAAGGCAUUUUUCAGGUAGAGAGGCAUAAGUCUUGGGCCAGGAAGCUUCAGUAAGAAGACAAUAAUUUCAUAGAAAUGCAUUAGCUUGGGGAGUCCAACUGCUGUUCUCGCACCUAAGAAAUUCAGAGGAGAGCUCUUUGCUUCCUUGCUCAUUCCAGUGGUUAGCAGUCAGGCCUUGUCCCA